GUUCUACCUUGACGAAUUGUAGUUUAAAGAAGUGUUUUCUGUUAGAGGAGUAGCAAAAGUUCCUUGGAAUGGGACAUCAUAGAGGGUGAGAAUCCCGUAUUUGGUUAUUCUUUCUAGCUUUGUGAUACACUUUCAAAGAGUCGGAUUGUUUGGGAAUGCAGUCCAAAAUGGGUGGUAAAUUUCAUCUAAAGCUAAAUAUUGGCGAGAGACCGAUAGCGAACAAGUACCGUGAGGGAAAGAUGAAAAGAACUUUGAAAAGAGAGUUAAACAGUGCGUGAAAUUGUCAAAAGGGAAGCGUUUGACACCAGUGUUGUUUUUCCGAAAAUCAAUUAAGAAGGGCUUGAUUUUGUGUUGUAUUGACCUUAUCAGCUUUCUUCACUCUUUUUCGAGUCUUUCUU
rnacentral:rRNA from 1 species